UUGAACGCUGGCGGCAGGCCUAACACAUGCAAGUCGAGCGGUAGCACAGAGAGCUUGCUCUCGGGUGACGAGCGGCGGACGGGUGAGUAAUGUCUGGGAAACUGCCUGAUGGAGGGGGAUAACUACUGGAAACGGUAGCUAAUACCGCAUAAUGUCGCAAGACCAAAGUGGGGGACCUUCGGGCCUCAUGCCAUCAGAUGUGCCCAGAUGGGAUUGGCUAGUAGGUGGGGUAACGGCUCACCUAGGCGACGAUCCCUAGCUGGUCUGAGAGGAUGACCAGCCACACUGGAACUGAGACACGGUCCAGACUCCUACGGGAGGCAGCAGUGGGGAAUAUUGCACAAUGGGCGCAAGCCUGAUGCAGCCAUGCCGCGUGUGUGAAGAAGGCCUUCGGGUUGUAAAGCACUUUCAGCGGGGAGGAAGGCGUUAAGGUUAAUAACCUUGGCGAUUGACGUUACCCGCAGAAGAAGCACCGGCUAACUCCGUGCCAGCAGCCGCGGUAAUACGGAGGGUGCAAGCGUUAAUCGGAAUUACUGGGCGUAAAGCGCACGCAGGCGGUCUGUCAAGUCGGAUGUGAAAUCCCCGGGCUCAACCUGGGAACUGCAUUCGAAACUGGCAGGCUAGAGUCUUGUAGAGGGGGGUAGAAUUCCAGGUGUAGCGGUGAAAUGCGUAGAGAUCUGGAGGAAUACCGGUGGCGAAGGCGGCCCCCUGGACAAAGACUGACGCUCAGGUGCGAAAGCGUGGGGAGCAAACAGGAUUAGAUACCCUGGUAGUCCACGCCGUAAACGAUGUCGAUUUGGAGGUUGUGCCCUUGAGGCGUGGCUUCCGGAGCUAACGCGUUAAAUCGACCGCCUGGGGAGUACGGCCGCAAGGUUAAAACUCAAAUGAAUUGACGGGGGCCCGCACAAGCGGUGGAGCAUGUGGUUUAAUUCGAUGCAACGCGAAGAACCUUACCUGGUCUUGACAUCCACAGAACUUUCCAGAGAUGGAUUGGUGCCUUCGGGAACUGUGAGACAGGUGCUGCAUGGCUGUCGUCAGCUCGUGUUGUGAAAUGUUGGGUUAAGUCCCGCAACGAGCGCAACCCUUAUCCUUUGUUGCCAGCGGUUAGGCCGGGAACUCAAAGGAGACUGCCAGUGAUAAACUGGAGGAAGGUGGGGAUGACGUCAAGUCAUCAUGGCCCUUACGACCAGGGCUACACACGUGCUACAAUGGCAUAUACAAAGAGAAGCGACCUCGCGAGAGCAAGCGGACCUCAUAAAGUAUGUCGUAGUCCGGAUUGGAGUCUGCAACUCGACUCCAUGAAGUCGGAAUCGCUAGUAAUCGUAGAUCAGAAUGCUACGGUGAAUACGUUCCCGGGCCUUGUACACACCGCCCGUCACACCAUGGGAGUGGGUUGCAAAAGAAGUAGGUAGCUUAACCUUCGGGAGGGCGCUUACCACUUUGUGAUUCAUGACUGGGGUG
rnacentral:rRNA from 1 species